UACGUAGGGAGCAAGCGUUGUCCGGAAUCAUUGGCGUAAAGCGCGUGUAGGCGGUUCAGUAAGUCUGCUGUGAAAGUCCAGGGCUCAACCCUGGGAUGCCGGUGGAUACUGCUGGACUAGAGUGCGGAAGAGGAGAGUGGAAUUCCUGGUGUAGCGGUGAAAUGCGCAGAGAUCCGGAGGAACACCGACGGCGUAGGCAGCGCCCUGGACGACACCUGACGCUGAGGCACGAAAGCUGGGGGAGCGAACAGG
rnacentral:rRNA from 1 species